rnacentral:rRNA from 1 species
UACGUAGGGUGCGAGCGUUAAUCGGAAUUACUGGGCGUAAAGCGCGCGCAGGCGGCGAUGUAAGACCGAUGUGAAAUCCCCGGGCUUAACCUGGGAACUGCAUUGGUGACUGCAUCGCUCGAGUAUGGCAGAGGGGGGUAGAAUUCCACGUGUAGCAGUGAAAUGCGUAGAGAUGUGGAGGAAUACCGAUGGCGAAGGCAGCCCCCUGGGUCAAUACUGACGCUCAUGCACGAAAGCGUGGGGAGCAAACAGG